rnacentral:rRNA from 1 species
GUGCCAGCCGCGGCGGUAAUACGUAGGUGGCAAGCGUUGUCCGGAUUUAUUGGGCGUAAAGGGAACGCAGGCGGUCUUUUAAGUCUGAUGUGAAAGCCUUCGGCUUAACCGAAGUCGUGCAUUGGAAACUGGGAGACUUGAGUGCAGAAGAGGAGAGUGGAACUCCAUGUGUAGCGGUGAAAUGCGUAGAUAUAUGGAAGAACACCAGUGGCGAAAGCGGCUCUCUGGUCUGUAACUGACGCUGAGGUUCGAAAGCGUGGGUAGCAAACAGGAUUAGAUACCCUGGUAGUCCACGCUGUAAACGAUGAAUGCUAAGUGUUGGAGGUUUCCGCCUUCAGUGCCGCAGCAAACGCAUUAAGCAUUCCGCCUGGGGAGUACGACGCAAGGUUGAAACUCAAAGGAAUUGACGGGGCCCGCACAAGCGGUGGAGCAUGUGGUUAAUUCGAAGCAACGCGAAGACCUUACAGGUCUGACAUCUUCUGAUAACCUAAGAGAUUAGGUGUUCCCUUGGGGACAGAUGAC